UGAUUUUUUGCAUUCUCACUUUGAAAACAUUUUCAGCAAUAUGAUAAUUGCAGUGCUUCUCUUGUUGGUUGCCACCUCUAAUACUCAUGCAGUGGCUGAUCAGAAAAGUAGCAGCAGAAGAGUGAAUGAUCAAGCACAGUGCAUAGAGAAAGAAAGAGAAGCUCUCCUCAGCUUUAAGAGAGUUGUAGAUCCAGAACAUACUGGUGAAGAUUUUGGUAUGUAGCUGGCGUGGAGGAUGACAGAGCUAGAACCUGAGCAUUUGAGCUGUAAAAUUAUUUUUCUUGUUCUUGUUUUAUGGUUUCAGUAUUUCUAGCUAGGACAUGUUAUGGUAAUAUUUAUUUUGUGUGUUUAAUUUAAAAUAAUAAAAUAAAAUAAUAGCUAGAUUCCAAAUCUAGUUUUUUUUUUUUUUGGGUGAAACUGUAGUUAUUGACAAAGUUAUCUUGGUCUGCUGUUGUAUUCAAUUUAGACAUUUAAUGCCAUCUGUUAUUGUGUUUAUUA